UCUGGUUGAUCCUGCCUGAACUGAUGUGCUUAUUUCAAAGAUUAAGCCAUGCAUGUCUAAGUAUAAACGAUUUUAUCGUGAAACCGCGAACGGCUCAUUAAAUCAGCUAUGAUCUACUUGAUCUUGAAAUUUAUUCUACUUGGAUAACUGUGGUAAUUCUAGAGCUAAUACAUGCACAAAUGCUCUGACCUCGCGGAAAGAGCGCAUUUAUUAGAGCAAAACCAGGCGGCUUCGGUCGUUUUUUGCUGACUCAGAAUAACUCAGCUGAUCGCACGGUCUCGUACCGGCGACGUGUCUUUUGAGUAUCUGCCUUAUCAAUUUUCGAUGGUAGUGUAUCUGACUACCAUGGUUUUGACGGGUAACGGAGAAUAAGGGUUCGACUCCGGAGAAGGGGCCUGAGAAAUGGCCACUACGUCUAAGGAUGGCAGCAGGCGCGCAAAUUACCCACUCUCGGAAUGAGGAGGUAGUGACGAGAAAUAACGAGACCGUUCUCUAUGAGGCCGGUUAUCGGAAUGGGUACAAUUUAAAACCUUUAACGAGUAUCUAUGAGAGGGCAAGUCUGGUGCCAGCAGCCGCGGUAAUUCCAGCUCUCAAAGUGCAUAGAACCAUUGUUGCGGUUAAAAAGCUCGUAGUUGAAUCUAGGCCUGAGACCUGGUCCACUCUCUGAAUGCGUACUAGGUUCUUUGGCUUUGGCGUCGGUUUUCUUGUCGUCGCCUUUAUUGGUGGCGGCAAGUGGCUGGCAAUUUUACUUUGAACAAAUCAGAGUGCUUAAAACAGGCGUUUCGCUUGUAUGCUUUUGCAUGGAAUAAUAGAAUAUGACUUCGGUUUAGUUUUAUUGGUUUUAUAGAUCGUUGUAAUGAUUAAAAGAGACAAACGGGGGCAUUCGUAUUGUUGCGUGAGAGGUGAAAUUCUUGGACCGCAGCAAGACGACCAACAGCGAAAGCAUUUGCCAAGCUUGUCUUCAUUAAUCAAGAACGAAAGUCAGAGGAUCGAAGGUGAUCAGAUACCGCCCUAGUUCUGACCGUAAACGAUGCCAACUAGCGAUUCGCCGGUGGAUUUUUUGCCCUGGCGAGGAGCUUCCCGGAAACGAAAGUCUUCCGGUUCCGGGGGAAGUAUGGUUGCAAAGCUGAAACUUAAAGGAAUUGACGGAAGGGCACCACCAGGAGUGGAGCCUGCGGCUUAAUUUGACUCAACACGGGAAACCUCACCAGGCCCAGACACCGGAAGGAUUGACAGAUUGAUAGCUCUUUCUUGAUUCGGUGGGUGGUGGUGCAUGGCCGUUCUUAGUUGGUGGAGCGAUUUGUCUGGUUAAUUCCGAUAACGAACGAGACUCUAGCCUGCUAAAUAGACGUAACUUAUGGUAUCUCGAAGGCCCCCGGCUUCGGUCGCGGGGUUUUUACUACCAACGUACAAACAAAUCUUCUUAGAGGGACAGGCGGCUUCUAGCCGCACGAGAUUGAGCAAUAACAGGUCUGUGAUGCCCUUAGAUGUUCUGGGCCGCACGCGCGCUACACUGAAGGAAUCAGCGUGUUUUCCCUGGCCGAAAGGCCCGGGUAACCCGCUGAACCUCCUUCGUGCUAGGGAUUGGGGCUUGCAAUUGUUCCCCAUGAACGAGGAAUUCCCAGUAAGCGCGAGUCAUAAGCUCGCGUUGAUUACGUCCCUGCCCUUUGUACACACCGCCCGUCGCUACUACCGAUUGAAUGAUUUAGUGAGGUCUUCGGACUGGUGCGCGGCCAAUGUCUCGGCAUUGCCGAUGUUAUCGGGAAGAUGACCAAACUUGAUUAUUUAGAGGAAGUAAAAUCUCAGGACCCGUCUUGAAACACGGACCAA
rnacentral:rRNA from 1 species